rnacentral:lncRNA from 1 species
GACAAUCAAUACAACAAUCAACAAAAAUCAUAAGAAUCCAUUUUCUAUUUCAACUAAUUUUAUAACUCUUUCUAAACCACAGUGUAAGCUGCAUUGGUGUCAAGAUAGUACUAACUAUACAUAACUUGUUAAAAAUUACUCAAAAUACAACCUAUAUUUCAGUUUGAAUGAAAUUUAGAGUGAAAUUACAAACACUACAAAUGAACCAAAAAUGCAUCCUAAUUCAUGUAACAUUAAGUACAUAUAACAUUACAAACAAAAUCAUCAAAUACACUCAUAUUCUUCCAUGCUUGCAAUACACUGUCAUCUCCAAAUACAAAUCUCAUAAGAAGGCCACUUGUAGUUGUAGCAUACAAUUCAACACCAAAGCCUUAGUCUCCAAAGUUGCAAACAUAAUGUAUCAUUUUAUUUCAUUCUAAGCAUAUAUGUACCAAUUACGGAAAAAUCUUAAUUCUAAGAAAAAAUAGUUUGAAACCUUGUUUCUAUACAAUAAACAAUGGUAAUGAAAUAGUAUAAAUUUAAUGGCUUUCUCUGC